rnacentral:rRNA from 1 species
UUCUUCGGAGAGUUUGAUCCUGGCUCAGGACGAACGCUGGCGGCGUGCCUAAUACAUGCAAGUCGAGCGGACCGCAUCUGCGGUCAGCGGCGGACGGGUGAGUAACACGUGGGCAACCUGCCUGUAAGACUGGGAUAACUCCGGGAAACCGGAGCUAAUACCGGAUACUAUGUCAAACCGCAUGGUUUGACAUUCAAAGACGGUUUCGGCUGUCAC